rnacentral:rRNA from 1 species
UACGUGAGGGGCAAGCGUUGUCCGGAAUCAUUGGGCGUAAAGAGCGUGUAGGCGGUCCGGUCAGUCGGUUGUGAAAGUCGAAGGGCUACCAACCCGUUGAAUGCCGGCCGAUACUUGCCGGGCUAGAGUCCGGAAGAGGUGAGUGGAAUUCCUGGUGUAGCGGUGAAAGUGCGCAGAGUAUACAGGAGGAACACCGAUGGCGAAGGCAGCUCACUGGGACGGUACUGACGCUGAGACGCGAAAGCGUGGGGAGCAAACAGGG